CAGCGGAAUUUCCUUAAAAUUCUGCUGAUUUCCACCAUAACGUUUUGGGUCCAAUCCCAAAUCAAAUUCUCCUUCGCACCACUUUUACGCUGUGCUUUUCACCGUCGGCCCUACAGCUGUUGCGCUGCUGUCCGCAGUUUGUCCACGACCCUUGCCGGGACCCACUGGCCCAUCGGAAAGAAAAUGACGUUUAUGGAUCUCAAAAUAAGAUGACAUGUAUUGACGCGGCCAACAGCGCAUGAGCUACCGACGGAAAGCACGCUCGCUGCAGAUCAGGGGGUGAACUUCUCUCCUUUAGUAGGGUUUUUUGAGUUCCUCGAAAGGACCCACCAUCGCGUAUAUAAACUAUAAUCCUAGACGUCUUUAAACGAAGCAACGCGCUCUCCCCUCCUGCCCAGCCCUGCGGCCGACUCCCUCCUCCCCAACAAAUCGAGUCGUCUCCGGCCAAUACUAUCGUCCUGCAUCCGCCCCGCGAUACUAUAAGGGACGGACAGCAGCCUGCGACCAUCACCACCGCCUCACCAUAAGCUGAAAAGAACUAACGCCACAUCACACCAUGAUGCGUAUGUUUCCCCGGAGAUCCCCCCGAAAUCCUGUACACCCCCCCUAGCACUUCAAUUUCAAGCUUGUGCGUGCAUCAAUUCUCCAAACCUCACUCCCACUCAAAACCAAUCCAACCACAACUAUCAUCGUCAGGCUAUAUACCUUGUUAAUCAUAACCAACUCAUUCCAAAAGCCGCAACAAACAUCCGCCUCGCGGGUCUGCUCUCUAAAUGUACCACAUCACAGAUGGACCACACCGCACAUACACACCACACCAGGACAUCCUCCUCGUCCCAACUUUGCAAAUCUUCCCACGCCUUCACCUCACGUCUCCGAUUCUGUCCUCGAUUCUGUCCUCGAGGUCCUUGAAGCAGUCCGCAGAACAGUCUUGAAAAACCAAACAGGAAACCCUAGGAACAGCACUGAACUCGAACCGACCACAACUCUUCUGCCGGGGCCCUCCCAACACCAUCAAUCCCCCCCCCUACCGCACCGCACCGCACCAAGGGACGCGUCUACAAUAGCUGCUCGUCGUAAGGUACACACAGUCGACACUGCUUUACUGCCACAGCGAUCGUACACCUCAAUCUGCCCUCUUCCUGCUUUUGCCUGCAUCAAUGAUCCCCGGCUUCGGUAUCCGGAAUCCCAGUUCCAAAACCCCCAAACUUCCCCCGUAUAUGUACAUACAUACAUACAUACAUACAUACAUACAUACAUACAUACAUACAUACAUACAUACAUACACACAUAUAGGACUCUCAAGCCCUACGACCGCCUCUCAGGAGUGACCCCGCACAAGCUCCGCCUGCUGCAACCGCUUCAGCGCUACGAGGUACCCUGCCGUACGCAACGACAGAGAGGUGCCGUACUGCUCCUGCUCCCGUAGCAAAGCGUUGUACGCGUCGGUCAGGUACCUGUCCAGCUCCCGCUUCACCUCAUCCUCCUCCCACUG
rnacentral:lncRNA from 1 species